rnacentral:rRNA from 1 species
UAUUGGUCAAUGGGCGUAAGCCUGAACCAGCCAAGUCGCGUGAGGGAUGAAGGUUCUAUGGAUCGUAAACCUCUUUUAUAAGGGAAUAAAGUGCGGGACGUGUCCUGUUUUGUAUGUACCUUAUGAAUAAUGAUCGGCUAACUCCGUGCCAGCAGCCGCGGUAAUACGGAGGAUCCGAGCGUUAUCCGGAUUUAUUGGGUUUAAAGGGGGCGUAGGCGGCCUUUCAAGUCAGCGGUGAAAGUAUGUGGCUCAACCAUAGAAUUGCCGUUGAAACUGGGGGGCGUGAGGAUGUUUGAGGCAGGCGGAAUGCGUGGUGUAGCGGUGAAAUGAUUAGAUAUCACGCAGAACCCCGAUUGCGAAGGCAGCCUGCCAAGCCAUGACUGACGCUGAUGCACGAAAGCGUGGGGAUCAAACAGG